GAACCUUCGCAGUACCCUUGUUCUUGAAGGAGCGCUCAAUGGGACGACCCCCGGGCAUCUUUUUCGAUGUCCUCUCCUCCUCCCUCCACUUGGUCUUUACCCGAUGCCUCCCCGCAAGGCGUCCACGUGACGAUCCACAGCCUUCGCGGUCAGAUCUCAGGCUCCGACCUCACCUCCAGUUUCCCAGCCUCCUCCUCCUCCGGCAAUGGCGGUCGGUGCGGAGCAAUU
rnacentral:lncRNA from 1 species